UACGCAAAGGCUUGGUGGUAUUUUAAAGCUAAUGCUGUUUAGUCUAGAGAAUAACCAGAUUGAAGGCUCUAUACCAAUUAGAGCUAUUGGAAAAUUGAUUUCACUUAAAGAACUAUACCUUGGUGUAAACAAUUUAACAGUUUCUGGAGCCUCAAAGAUCUCUUGGGAUUUAUUCUGUCAUCGAAUUUCUUGACUGGCUCUCUACCUUCAGAGAUUGGACUGUUGAAGGUUGCAACAUGGAUAGAUUUUUUGAUGAAUCAGUUCGCAAACAACAUUCCCAGCAGAAUUGGAGAUUCAGAAAACUUGAAUCCUCUUUCUUUGGCAUAUAACAACUUUGAAGGGGCAAAUUCCAUCUAACGGCCCUUUCAAGAAUUUCACUAGUGAAUCUUUUAUCUCCAAUGAUGUAUUAUGUGGAUCAUCUAGGUUUCAUGUUCCAGCAAGCCAAACACUUCAAUUCACAGAUCGAGGACAAAGAAAGUGCUUCAAACUAAAUUGAUAGUGUUUGGAGCUUCAGCAAUAAUUGCUGGUAUUGCCUUGGCAUUUUUGUUCGUUCGGUACAUAAAGACGGAGAAGGUUCCUAAUGGAACUAAUUUGUUCUCCUUGACAGCAAAAGGAAGGAUUUCGUAUUAUGAACUCCUACAAGCAACCAAUGGUUAUGAUGAAAGCAACUUACUAGGAAGUUUUGGAUCUGUUUACAAAGGGAUUCUAGCUAAUGGAAUGUAUGUGGCCAUAAAGGCGUUCAAUUUACAGUUGGAAUAUUCAUUCAAGAGUUGCACCAGAGAAUCAGAAAGUCUUAUGCAUUCUUAGGCACAGAAAUCUGAAUGAUGACUUUAAGAGAUUAAUACAUGAUUAGAUGCCCAGUGGGAGCCUUGACUUGAGAAGCGGUUGUAUUCUUACAAUAAUUGCUCAAGUAUCAUCCAAAGAAUGAAUGUGAUGAUAGAUGUGGCAUCUGCAUUGGAG